rnacentral:rRNA from 1 species
AAACUUUCAACAACGGAUCUCUUGGCUCUGGCAUCGACGAAGAACGCAGCGAAAUGCGAUAAGUAAUGUGAAUUGCAGAAUUCAGUGAAUCAUCGAAUCUUUGAACGCACAUUGCGCCCGCCAGUAUUCUGGCGGGCAUGCCUGUUCGAGCGUCAUUAC